rnacentral:lncRNA from 1 species
AAUGAUGUCAGAAGCCUGGAGGAACACCCGAGAGAUGGCGCCGGCGACCACUGCUGCAUGAUUCCUGUGACCGUCCCUGAGCUCUUGAAGGCCCAGAUGUUGACCUUGCUGGGAAAACUGCGGAUGCAGACGAUGCUGUUUCAUUCUUCGAGGCACCUCUUACGGUCACUGGCAUCUUGAAUGGUGCUGUGUAUACUCACCUGCCAAUCACUGUGGUCUGUGCAGCCAGCUGGCUGUAGCCAGUGUUGCGGGGUGAGAGUCAGAGGUGGGGGGGAAAGGAAAUAGAGGCUGAGGUCCCUGUGUGGAACUGGCCAGGGAUUGUUCCUGUGGACUGGGGCUGCCAAACUGACCUGCUUUGUCUUUCCAUGGGUGACUCAAUCCCGGCACACCAUCAGCUCUCAGUGGCCCUUGAGGUCUUCUUGGCCCAGCUGAUGAUUCUUCCUUCAUUGCACUGUCAGGAGGCUCAUCCCAUCCUACUGACUAAGCCAAGGAAACACUAAUCUCAUCCUUAUGCCCUGAAACGUUUCAUUUUUCAUUAUUCUUUGAAGGAUUUCAUUUACAAAACAUGUGCACUUUUUGCAAGUAGGAUCAACUAGGAAACUCCUCAGCUCAGGUAAGUUCUCUGAGGGCAGGGACUUUUAUCUGUUCUUUAAAAAAAAAGUUAGGGUUUCCCUGGUGGUCUAGUGGUUAGGAAUCUGCCUGUCAAUGCAGGGCACACAGGUUUGAUCCCUGGAUCCCCCAUGCCGCUGAGCAACUGAGCUCGUGAGCCACAAUUACUGAGUCCACGUGCUACAACUACUGAAGCCCGUGCCCAGCAACAAGGGAAGCCACGACAAUGAGAUGCCCUCACACUGCAACGAGGAGUAGCCCCGAUCACAGUAACUAGAGAAAGCCCACAGGCAGCAGCAAAGACCCAGCCCAGCCAAAAAUAAAAUAGAUUAAUAAAAAAAAUUUUUUGUGUGC